rnacentral:lncRNA from 13 species
AUGUGUCCCUUCUCAUUUCCCCCCAAUUCUAGAGGUCUCGGCCGGGUGUGCUCAAGCCCCUCCCCCGCGCGAGGCGGGCAGCGCGCCCUGCUCACCGUGGUCCGCGGCGGCGGCGGCGCAGGCGGGAGCCGGCGGCGGGUGGCCCCGGGCCGCCGGGCGGCUCCUGCGGUCCGGGCGGCAGUUGGUCCAGGAGUUUCGGAUGCUCGGGCUCGGCUCGGCAGAGAGCGUCAGCGUGAAUGGGAGCAAACGACCAGGGCUGUGCGUGGCGCGUGUGGAGGUGCUGUUAACAUUGGGAGUAGUGCUUUCUCUCACUGAGGCGCUGACGGCAAGUGUCUGAGGUAGCAGUCUCUGAAGUAUUUGUGCAUGACUGAAGAAACUUUAUGAAGGGGAAAGAUUCAAAGGUGGGGGACAGUGGAUAAGGUAAGAUAUCAUAUGAUUUUUUUCUCAUUAAUCUCUUAUUUUUCCCCUCCAGAUGCAGGUCCAAAGCCUGUAGGAGAAUUUUUUUUUAAAUAUCAUGAAAAAUGACUCUACUUUCCUUCAACUUUGCUAUUUUGGAAAUUGGAUCUAUAAAGACUAAACAAAUAUUGUGAUGAACCUUUUAGUUACCCUGUUUCAGUUGUUUCCAGGUUAAUUAAGCAAAACUCACUAAGGCCUGAAUUGAUGGGUUUAUUUUGGGACUGUCCUAAAAUCCAAAUCUUUAUAAUUCCCAAACUGAAUGAAUCCUAUGCUUACAUUGCGGCCCCCUCUAAAUGGGGAGGAGCAAUUUAGGCCCCAAACACGCAUUCUUUUUCCAGUGCAAUAUCAAUUCACUUUCAACCAUCUGAAAAAUUACUCAGUUAAAGUCUAUUUUCUGAAUACAAGUGAUUGCCCAUCCUGGAAUAGCUCUCCUUGUCUGCAGUCUUUUCUGCAGAGUAGCUGAUAAGGGGCUGGCUGGGCUGACAACAUGUGUGUGUACAAACCUGCACACUAGAGUAAUGAUCCUAGGAGUACCUCUGUAUUCAGGAACUUUGUGUUCAUGUUGGAUAAUCCUUGGGUGUUUGAGGUUUUUUUUUUUUUUAAUUACAUUGUUCAUGCAUUCAUUAUAUGUUUGUUUAAGGCACAUACUAAUUUUUAAAUAUCUGAAAUGAUUAAUUUACUAAAUUCAUUUUUGAAGCCAGAGUUGUGUGAGGAGUUAAAGCAAUUCAAUCUUGCAUAAAAACAUAAUGAACACCUGCUGGGUUAAGCAGGGGAACUAGAAUGAGUAGGACACAGCCUCAGUCUUGAGAAGUAUACACUCCAAUUGGAGGACUGAGAAAAGAAUACAAGUAAUUACAGUAUAAAGCAGGUGAGGAUGAGCUAUUCAGGAGUACAGAGAGAAGUGGGUUCAAAGAAGGAGUACUCGUCCAUUUGAAACUACAAAAUAUUUCUACUGAACUUUAAAAUUUAAGAUUGUCUUGAAAGAUGAGUAAAAUUUGACAGAAUAAAAUAUUACGCAUAUAAGGAAUCA